AAAAUAAAAAAAUGUUUAAUAAUGUUACAGUAUGCUUAUCGUAACAUUUUUACAUUGUGAAAUGUAGAAGAAAUGAAGCACCGUGCCAAUAAUAUUAUCUUUGAGCUAAUUAGGUUGAAUUACUUUUUGGAUUAGGAUUAAGGUUAUUUUUGUCAAAAAAUAAAAAAUUAGCACAGCUUUUUAUGAACAUCUCUAUUCAUAGAGCUCAUAUAAAAUGCAGUUAAUAGGCACCCUAUCAAUUUUCAUCUAGUUUUUUUUAAGAUUUACCAAAGGU
rnacentral:misc_RNA from 1 species